CUAGCUGUAAACGAUGGGUACUAGGCGUUGAGAGUAUCGACCCUCUCAGUGUCGUAGCUAACACGUUAAGUAUCCCGCCUGGGGAGUACGCGCGCAAGCGUGAAACUCAAAGGAAUUGACGGGGGCCCGCACAAGCGGUGGAGUAUGUGGUUUAAUUCGAUGCAACGCGAAGAACCUUACCAGGGCUUGACAUGUCCGGAACCCUGCCCAAAGGCGGGGGUGCCUACGGGAACCGGAACACAGGUGGUGC
rnacentral:rRNA from 1 species